AGAAGGAAGUAGAUUUAAGGGAGAGCUCUACAGUAGUCGCAUCUGCCCAGCAAGUGAAGACAACGCAAACUUCAAAUGCUCCUGAUGUAAAUGAUGCAAUUGUGAAACUAUUCAAUGAUUUUGAUGUUAAGGAAACCUCCCAUCAUUUAGUGAUUUCUCAUCUAGAUCUACACAUAUGUGAUGACAUUCAUGCUAAAGAAAAAGAGUCAAACAGACGUAUUACUGGAGGGGCAAUGCAACUCUCUUUUACACAGCUAACUAUAGAUUAUUAUCCUUAUCAUAAAGCAGAGAAGGACUACCCUCUGAAAGGGACAUGCAGAACACCUUCAGUAUUAUCUCAACAAUCAAAAGCUAAGCUAAUGUCUAGUUCUGUUGUGGUUAGACUUGCAGAUUUCAAUAUAUACCAGGUCUCUACAGCGGAACAAUGUCGUUCUUCCCCCAAAAGCAUGAUUUGCUGCAAUAAAAAAUCCCUAUAUCUUCCACAAGAAAUGUCAGCUGUCUAUAUAGAAUUCACAGAAUAUUACUAUCCAGAUGGAAAGGAU
rnacentral:lncRNA from 1 species